rnacentral:rRNA from 1 species
GACGAACGCUGGCGGCGGGCUUAACACAUGCAAGUCGAACGGAAAGGCCCUGCUUUUGUGGGGUGCUCGAGUGGCGAACGGGUGAGUAACACGUGAGUAACCUGCCCUUGACUUUGGGAUAACGUCAUGAAACUGGGGCUAAUACCGGAUAGGAGCUCCUGCUGCAUGGUGGGGGUUGGAAAGUUUCGGCGGUUGGGGAGGGACUCGCGGCUUAUCAGCUUGUUGGUGGGGUAGUUGUUGACCACGGCUUUGACGGGUCGCCGCCGUGAGGGGGACCGGCCACAUUGGGACUGAGAUACGGCCCAGACUCCUACGGGAGGCAGCAGUGGGGAAUAUUGCACAAUGGGCUGAAGCCUGAUGCAGCAACGCCGCGUGCGGGAUGACGGCCUUCGGGUUGUAAACCGCUUUCGCCUGUGACGAAGCGUGAGUGACGGUAAUGGGUAAAGAAGCACCGGCUAACUACGUG